ensembl:lncRNA
AUGAAAGCCUAUGUUUCAUGGAGAGUCUGAGUGACAGCAACCAUGAUGAAAGUGAUACAGGUAAGAACAGCUCUCAGGUAGGAGCCAAUGGGAGAGGGAUCCCGGGACACUUGGGUGACGCCUGCUGCUUGGAGUGUGGGGCAGGUGAGUCUGAAACUUAAAAACAGAAAGAAAUUGAUGUAAAGAUGUUCACCGCCUACUUUAAUAAGGAGAGGGAGCAGAUAUGAGAUGCCUGAAUGUUGGCAUCUGUGCUCACCUUGUGUGGAAGGGUCUCAGUCCAUGGAGCAGAGGGAAGGUCUGGGCACCUGGAGGAAAAACCAGGGUGAUGCUCUGUACCGUAGUCACCUCAGGGAAGCCGGAGAAACGGGAGGGCCACUCUUUCUAACUCCUUGAUUCCCCUGAUGGUGUGUUUCUACAGACUCAGUGGUGGAGAGCCUGAGCAGCCGCCAGGAUGAGGAGGCUGCAGCAACCCUCGAUGAUGUUGUGGAGGCCGGCGGGAGUGAGAAGACGGAGGAAGAGGCCCUGGCUGGGGCAAAUGAGGAGGAGGUGGGGCCGGGAACUGAGAAGGUGCAGGAGGAGGCUGCCUGCAUUGACGAGGCAGAGGAGGAGGCAGGCCCAUCCCUUGAAAAUGACGAGGAGUCCCCAGCCAGCGACCUGGUUGAGCAGGAAGACCAGCUUGCCCCCAAGGUGGACGGGAUGGACGAUGAAAGCCUAUGUUUCAUGGAGAGUCUGAGUGACAGCAACCAUGAUGAAAGUGAUACAGGUAAGAACAGCUCUCAGGUAGGAGCCAAUGGGAGAGGGAUCCCGGGACACUUGGGUGACGCCUGCUGCUUGGAGUGUGGGGCAGGUGAGUCUGAAACUUAAAAACAGAAAGAAAUUGAUGUAAAGAUGUUCACCGCCUACUUUAAUAAGGAGAGGGAGCAGAUAUGAGAUGCCUGAAUGUUGGCAUCUGUGCUCACCUUGUGUGGAAGGGUCUCAGUCCAUGGAGCAGAGGGAAGGUCUGGGCACCUGGAGGAAAAACCAGGGUGAUGCUCUGUACCCGUAGUCACCUCAGGGAAGCCGGAGAAACGGGAGGGCCACUCUUUCUAACUCCUUGAUUCCCCUGAUGGUGUGUUUCUACAGACUCAGUGGUGGAGAGCCUGAGCAGCCGCCAGGAUGAGGAGGCUGCAGGUAGGGAAGAGCACGCAGCUGGGAUCCAGUGGGAGAGGGUUCCUGGGAGCACCUGGGUUCCGCCUGCUGCCGGAGAGGGAGGAAGUGGGGAUAGGACUUGGCGGGUGGG